rnacentral:rRNA from 1 species
AUUGAACGCUGGCGGCAUGCCUUACACAUGCAAGUCGAACGGCAGCACGGGAGCUUGCUCCUGGUGGCGAGUGGCGAACGGGUGAGUAAUGCAUCGGAACGUGCCCUGAAGUGGGGGAUAACGUAGCGAAAGUUACGCUAAUACCGCAUAUUCUGUGAGCAGGAAAGCAGGGGAUCUUCGGACCUUGCGCUUUUGGAGCGGCCGAUGUCGGAUUAGCUAGUUGGUGGGGUAAAGGCCCACCAAGGCGACGAUCCGUAGCGGGUCUGAGAGGAUGAUCCGCCACACUGGAACUGAGACACGGUCCAGACUCCUACGGGAGGCAGCAGUGGGGAAUUUUGGACAAUGGGCGCAAGCCUGAUCCAGCCAUGCCGCGUGAGUGAAGAAGGCCUUC